GUGCACUCCGGCAGGUCAAGUCUGGGCUAUAAUUGCCCCUAAUUAGCAUUUCCAGCACAUAGAACUUUCCCCAACCUCAGCCUACAGCUAAGUGGUUCUCAGAAAAGGACAGAAAUUAUUUUCUACCUUUGAAAACAUCAAAGGAAAUUACCCCAUUCUUGCCUAUACCUCUUGGCUGGCCUCGCUGCGGUGGUGUCGGGAGGGGCCGAGCCAUUAGAGGUACCUAGAGGGUCCCUGAAUCAGAUACAGUUGACCCUGAACCACGCAACGCAGGCGCCAAUGCACAGGGUCACUUAUGUACAGAGUUUUUUCAGUAACAGUUACGCCGAGUGUGCCUGCCUCUCCUCCCUUCCUCCUCCUCCACCUCUCCCACCUCUGCCACGCCAGAGACAGCAACCAACCCCUCCCCUUCCUCCUCCUCUUAGCCUACUCAUCAUGAAGGAUGGAGACCUCUAUAGCGAGCCACUUCCACUUAAUGAAUAGUCAAUAUAUUUUCUUCCUUAUGAUUUUCAUAGUAACAUUUUCUUUUGUCUAGCUGACUUUAUUGUAAGCAGUAUAUAAUACACAUCACAUGCGAAAUAUGUGUUAAUUGGUUGCUUAUGUUAUUGGUCAGUCAACAACAGGCUGUUAGUAAUUAAGUCUGGGAGAAGUCAAAGUUAUAGGAGGAUUUUUUACGGUGGGGGAGGGUCUGUGCCCCUAACCCCCAGGUUGUUCAAGGUCAACUGUGGUACCUGAUGGGACAUGUGCUCCGGGGGGCUCCCACCACCCCCAGGCUAUUCAGAGUUUUAUGUUCUCCCCUCCUUUGCCAUAUAAGGCCCUGGCAGGUGGGGCUGAGUCUAGACUUCUUUGUAAACAUCCCCUGCCAAGCACAGCGCUGCUCAUGUGGGAUGCAGUCAUAGGAUCUCAGCUGGAAAUGUCCCUCUAGUCCCCAUGACUACACUCCAAACACUUAUGUAUUGACUGUGUUUUUGUCCCAAUAUUCUAAACGCUGUGGAUGAAAAAGUGAACGAAUCAAUGUCCCUGAUCAUGUGGAACUUUUAUGUUAGUGUGGGGGGUGGAGUGCGAUUGACACUAAACAAUAAGUGGGUAACAUGUCACAUGUUUCCUGAAGAUGCCAAAGAAAAGCAGUAAACCAAUGUAAGGGGGUGGAAUGCUGUGGCACUGUUUCCACUAGACAGGGGCAUCGGGAGUCAUUUCUGACAAGGGACAUUUGCGGGCAGGCCUAAGGGAAGGGAGGGGACAGAGCGCAGCAGGCGGAAAACCAGCAGGUGCACAGUCGAGGCCGGAACGCGCUGGGUAUGUGGGGGUGGGGGGAGGUGAGGCGGAGAGCAACGCGGCUGCCGCAGAGUGCAUAGGAGCAGGUGACAGGAGAGGACAUGAACACGCAGGCUGGCAACAGAGCCGACGUUACCACUGGGCUAGCCCUGGGAGAGCUGAGGGCUAUGGGCCUGCCCAAGUCAUCAUUCAACGCCCAGGGCCUUCCCGCAGGUGCUGGCUGGGGAGGCCCCCAUGGCGGCUUGCUUGUCCUGGGAGCUGUGUGUUGCGAAGGGCUGGUUUGGGUCGGGCAGUCCUAGCUUCUCCCCAACUGCGGGGGUCCUCGGUCCUCAUGCAGUUUCGGUCUAAUGAACCUGAAUGCUCUACACAUGGCGGGCGAGGAGUAGAGCUAGGACUAGAACCCAGUGCUGCUGAACUCGGAGCGAGUGGGGUUUGUCUCACUCACAGGGACCUCUUGCCACCCUGCCCUUCAUGGAUUCCCUUUCUAAGCGCUGCCCUCCCCAGUCAGCGUGGCACCAGGGCCGGGAAGGCCCAGGGGAGAGGCUGGCCUGGGAAACCAUCAGCUCUGUGACACGGAGAGCCCAGAACCCCCUGUCCCUGGGGACCGUCCUCAAAACACGCAGCCACCCAUUCUUGGGUGUCCCUCUGCAGUGCCCGAGAGUGUGAGCACUAACGCCGGCGCGGGGUCAGGUCAGGCUGCCUUCACUCAGGCCACACCCCUCCUCCGUGCCAUAAUGGCAGGCCUUGUUGAUUCAUGUUCCAAUCGGCCCCAGGGCAGGUCUGCUGUGGCCAUGCUGACCGGGCGAACCUCUGACACAUCUGGGGUACAGUUCUGCACCCACAAACCUGCCCUGCCACACAGAAGUAGGUUCUGGUAACCCCGUCAUAUGUCUCCGUCUUGGCUCGUGCGGGAUCUACCUCCUUGGACUUCACGUGGAGCCCACUUCCUCAUUCCGCCAUUUCCUAAGGCGGGGACUUUCGCACCACACUCCGGGGCAGAGCUCAUCUCCCCCCUCCCUGGCGCCCUGCCCAUGCCCGCUGCAGACUGCCCUGUGGAAGUGCCUCUCGGGACACCGAGGCCCCGGUCCCUUCCUGAGGGAGAUGGAGUCUGGGAGACCCUUAGCAUCCUCCUGGCGAUCAGGUGAGGAAACUCAGGCUCCUCAGAAGUGUAGCAUGCCGACAGCAAUGCCUCUAUCAGCAGCCGACGGAGGGAUUUGAGACCAGAAACCUGGUGAAAUAAUGCAGGAUUUAGCCCAAGCAUCCCUCCUGCCGGGAGACGUCUCAGCGCUGGUCCAGCCACUGCCCAGGGAAGGGGCAACUGUCAGAUGGCCCCAGAAGCUGUCAGAAGGAGAGAGAGAAACUGGACAUGAACUGCAGAAGGAAUAGCACAAUCGGAGGUCUUGACAUCAGCUCUUGGUGAAGCCGCUGGAAGCUGGAUGCAGCGUGUCAGCAUGUGUAUGCUGUGCCCACGGCAGGCAUUAUUAAUCAAUCGCGGCAUCUUCCUUGUCUAGUCCAGACUUGGCUUUGGAAUCCUUCUCAGCCUACUACUCCAGGAAGCCACUGAGAGUGACUGGAAUUGGCAGGCAAGGAAGCAAUCAUGUACUGUGAUAGCUGUGACGACUACCAUGAAAGGAUGUCGCAGGGAGCUGCAUGCACGAAGACAGAGGUGCUGGCGGCAGGGGCUGCAGGGCACGUGAAGGGCGGGCUGUCCACGCGCCACAGCAGGCCCAGCUAGGCAGCCUGCUCCAUCUGGUCACAGAAGGUGAGUAGAGCCAGUGACAACCUCUCCCCCAAACUGAAAAAGAAACAGGAGACCCACGGCCUCUUGCCAGAGAAAGAAAGGGAGGAGAGGAAUGAGACCGAGAAAGAGAGAAGGACAAAGAGCAAUGUCUCUGAAGUGUGGUGGGAAAAGGCUGGGGAACGUCUAAAAGUCCCAAACCCAUCCAGGGCCAGGCGAGGUGGGAGCGCAGAGGAGGAAGGUGCCGUCUCACGUUUCUUCCUGUCUCUACUCUAUGGCCAGACCAGGCGUAGAAGACCGCCCACGGGCCCAGCUGCCUCCGUGGCUUCCAUGCUGAGCAGAGCGGAAGUGCCAGCGAGCAGAUGCCACGUGGCCAGCACGGGUCCAGGUGUGGGCAAUGCUACUUGGAGGCGUGCACGGCCAGGGGGCUGAAGCGCCGGCCCUGCGAAGGUUGGACAGCCCAGCCGCCAUCGUGUCCCUGCUGCAGCCCAGCCGCUGUCCCUGUCCCCGCUGCAGCGCAUGAGGACCACAGUGAGCAGGGUGCCUGCUCUCUCCUCUCCCAAAUCCUGGGCUGUGCCGGGCAGGGGAAGGGAAAGGGAGAGGGAGAGGAGUGUGUCAGCAGGAGACCUGGGACCUGCAGGCCUCAGGACUUCCUUAGGGAGUUCUGCAGACCUUGUCUCCAAGUCAAUAAACAAACAGAGAGAAGGUCAUGGGGAAGUGUGAGA